ACCUAUAUAAGCCGCCAUAGCCAAGCUGCACCGAUCGGCAUCGCAUCUGUACUUGCUAGCCGGCGCACCCUCUCUUUUAUCCACAUCAGCUCGGUCGAUCUGUGACCAUCUCAGUCGAGCUGCAUCUGCAGGUGUACUAGUAGUACACCUAAGCUGAGCUUGCGUAUACCACUGCACGUAUACGCACAUCAAAUUAAUCUGAAACUAAUUAAGUUAUCAGGUGCGGGGAGAGAACAAUCGACACGAUGGCUUCUGCUUUCUCAUCCACCGUUGGAGCUCCGGUACGUAUGACUAUGACCUACACUCAUGGUAGCUAAUCCUUAAUCCAGUGGACAGAACGUAUGUACAUCUACUCGCUAAGUUACUAACAACACACUCGGUAUUAACAAUACUCAUCGCCUCCUCUAAAUAUGGCUGACUUGCUACAUAUUUUCAGGUUUGAAUUGUUUUAUUUUGUACAAUUUCAAUAUAAUUUGUGAUCUUGCUUUGAGAUUUGGACGCGACAAGCAGGGCCUCCUCUAUGUGUUGACUCGGACAAGGUCAUCUUUUCCUCACACAUGCCUUCCGGGGCUUAUGAAGACUAGGGUGGAUGGCCGGCCGCCGUGGGGCGGAGGCUAUCAAAUGAGGUCAUUUGUGCUCGGUUUGCGCAUGACCAUACAUAAAUGUUGAGUUAGCACGACAAAGAUAAUGUAGGCAACACUAGCGACUGAUCCAUGAUGGUGUGGAUGGAAAAGAAUAGGAGGUGGUCUCGAGAUUUUCUUAAGGAGCAACUAGUGUGUACUUUAUUGAAUCACGACGCAAACUAUAAAUAGUGCGGGGUGAGGGUGGUGGCGGGGAGGGUUGAGAAAUGUGGGAAGUUGGUGGUUACACUCUUUAGAGGCUACAGGAGGUGGGGAACAAAGGUAGGAGCUAAAAAAGUCUCGAGUGAAGGCACAUGGUUGUCUAGCCCGUUUGUGAGAAUUUGAGUGACAUAUAGAUUCUCAAUCAGUUUGUCUCCCGCCUUCAAGAAGGGACUAAGUGAGGAGAAAACUAGAUCUAGAUCUAAUAAUCUUUAAAAAAAAAGUGAAUGGUCGACAUGAAGGAGGAAGGGAGAGGGAAGAAAGAUUGAACUUAGAUACAAUUAUUUAAAAAAACUGACUAAUGAAAUAUAUUUCUCAUUAUUCUCCAUCAGCAAGAACUUUUGGUUGAACUGGUUAAGCCGUUCUGUAAUCCAAUAUGUUAUUCAACCCAUGAGGCAUCAAUUUCAAGGCCCGGUAUGCAGAGGCGGACCUAGAAACUAUUUUGACUCGGGGCAAAACAUAAGAGUCGUGGUACAUUUUGUCUAAAUUCAUUGAGUUUUAGCAUUUCCCCUAGAAGUUAAACAAAUCAUAUUGAAAUUUCAUAUUUUAAGUGCGGUCCUGGCCCCCACUCCCCUCAACACGGGUCCACCCCUCCUGGUAUGAGUUGGAGCGUCGAAAUAUAUAUUCGACCUUCCGCCUCUCUUCACGGGCUCAAGCUUUUGAAUGAACUAAUUAAUUGUAUAUGACAUGCAAUUGAAUAGUGACUGAAGACUACAAAUGCCUAAUUCAACAAUUGAUACACUGUAGAAAACUUACGACCUCUUUGUAAAAAGUCUUCGUUUAUUGGGAAAGAAUCAAUAUAUUUUUAAUGUCGAAUCGGGAUUCACUAAGACAAAAUUCGUGGGAUUCCUAAAUCGUUGGAAUAGGAGAAACACGGGAAUGGACUGGCAUACCAUCUUCAAAACUUUUGACUUAGUAUAGUUGUUUGAUUGUGCAAGAAAACCAUAAAAUUCCUCACAUUAGGUUGGAGUGGAUGAAAAUUUUCCUACAAAAACUAGUACUCCCUUCGUCCCAAAAUAAGUAACUCAACUUUGUACUAACUUUGCUAAAGUUAUUAUAAAGUUGAGUCACUUAUUUGAAACGAAAGAAGUACAGAUGAAUCAUAAGAAGAAGAAAAAUCAUGUGAAUUGAAAUCCUACAAAUCAAACAACUCACAUAGAAAAAAAAUCCUAAGGAUUAGAAUGCUCCAAAUUUUUUUUGGGAAUCCUCUGAAUCAGAGAGGCAUAUUCAACCCAAGCGUGCAUCGUCUGCUAUUGAACCAAGUGAACCAACGUACAUGAAUCUGGUUGGGGCUGACCGUGUCAUACUUGUGCAGGCGUCGACCCCGACCACCUUCCUCGGGAAGAAGGUGAAGAAGCAGGCCGGUACGUUGAACUACUACCAUGGUGGCAACAAGAUCAACAGUAGGGUGGUCAGGGCCAUGGCGGCCAAAAAGGAACUUGACGAGGGCAAGCAGACCGAUGCCGAUCGGUGGAAGGGUCUCGCUUAC
rnacentral:lncRNA from 1 species